GUCGAACGGACGAUGAAAGCUGCUUUUCAAAGUUAGUGGCGGACGGGUGAGUAACGCGUGGGUAACCUGCCUCAUACAGGGGAAUAGCAGCUGGAAACGGCUGAUAAAACCGCAUAAGCGCACAGUGCCGCAUGGCACAGUGUGAAAAACUCCGGUGGUAUGAGAUGGACCCGCGUCUGAUUAGCUAGUUGGCGGGGUAACGGCCCACCAAGGCGACGAUCAGUAGCCGGCCUGAGAGGGUGAUCGGCCACAUUGGGACUGAGACACGGCCCAAACUCCUACGGGAGGCAGCAGUGGGGAAUAUUGCACAAUGGGGGAAACCCUGAUGCAGCGACGCCGCGUGAAGGAAGAAGUAUCUCGGUAUGUAAACUUCUAUCAGCAGGGAAGAUAAUGACGGUACCUGACUAAGAAGCCCCGGCUAACUACGUGCCAGCAGCCGCGGUAAUACGUAGGGGGCAAGCGUUAUCCGGAUUUACUGGGUGUAAAGGGAGCGUAGGCGGCGGAGCAAGUCAGAAGUGAAAGCCCGGGGCUCAACCCCGGGACGGCUUUUGAAACUGCCCUGCUUGAUUUCAGGAGAGGUAAGCGGAAUUCCUAGUGUAGCGGUGAAAUGCGUAGAUAUUAGGAGGAACACCAGUGGCGAAGGCGGCUUACUGGACUGACAAUGACGCU
rnacentral:rRNA from 1 species